rnacentral:tmRNA from 1 species
GGGGGUGAACGGUUUCGACUCCGAUCGUCGAUCGAGGUGAAGCGUGCCGAGGAAGGCGACGAUGAUCUCGUUAACCAUGCGUCGCAAAAAAAUAAGUGCCGACAACAGUCGCACUGCCCCGGUUCAGGCUCAGAGCGCCUUCGCGCUCGCUGCCUGAUCCAGUAAGGGGCUGUCGGGCCGGAGGCGUCCCCGCUCCGGUACCCGGCAUCAGCUAGGGGACUCACCCUGCGGUUCGGCCGCGGAAGCGCAGGGGACAUCCAACAGCGGCUGGGAUCGUCACACCGGCUCGUCCGCGUGACCGGUGGAUCCGAGUAGAGACAGAGCGGACUGCGCACGGAGAAGCCCUCGUGAACCGACGGAGGACCCGGGUUCGAUUCCCGGCACCUCCACCA